rnacentral:rRNA from 1 species
AUUGAACGCUGGCGGAAUGCUUUACACAUGCAAGUCGAACGGUAACAGGGACUUCGGUCCGCUGACGAGUGGCGAACGGGUGAGAAAUACAUCGGAACGUACCCAGUUGUGGGGGAUAACUACGCGAAAGCGUAGCUAAUACCGCAUACGACCUGAGGGUGAAAGCGGGGGACCGUAAGGCCUCGCGCAGUUGGAGCGGCCGAUGUGCGAUUAGCUAGUUGGUGAGGUAAAGGCUCACCAAGGCGACGAUCGAUAGCUGGUCUGAGAGGAUGAUCAGCCACACUGGGACUGCGACACGGCCCAGACUCCGACGGGAGGCAGCAGUGGGGAAUUGUGGACAAUGGGCGAAAGCCUGAUCCAGCCAUUCCGCGUGAGUGAAGAAGGCCUUCGGGUUGUAAAGCUCUUUCGGGUAGAAAGAAAUCGCAUGAGCCAAUACCCUGUGCGGAUGACGGUACUACCAUAAGAAGCACCGGCUAACUACGUGCCAGCAGCCGCGGUAA